rnacentral:lncRNA from 1 species
ACACACCCCGCACAAGACUCUGUGCGCCCACCUCCUGGAACUGGAUAUGAAAGCCCAAGGGGCCCUUUUCUUGCCCUGUGCAUGGUCCACCAUCCGAAGAAAUGCUGACUAAUGCUGUGCCUGUGAAUGGCAGUGGACGAGAUAAGGAAGAUGGACACCCCAACCUCCCCCCCCCUCCGACCCCCAAGUUCGCGACCCGCUCGACGGACAACCCCAGGCUGACUAACAUGAUGAGGUAUCACCUCCAGAGAAGUCCCCUCCGGUUGGAGGGGCUCCGCCUCGCUACUAGCUUUCCGGUGCCUUGCAGGAAAUGCCGAACCCCACCCUUCCAUGGAUCCCGUCGUGAUCUACAACAAACAUGAAACAUAAUACGCACCCCUUACUGCGCCGCGUCUGUUUCCCGGAAAAACUACUUGGAGCUGAUUGAAUUGUGCUAUCCGUCCUUGAGGUCCCCUCCGAACGCCAAGAGAGCCUAGCCACGAAAACCCGUUCGAUGGUACCGAACUAGUAUUAUAUGGCCUGUAUCUCUCUCCCAACAUCCGGCUGGAACAACCCCCCAGAACUUCCUGCGAAGUUGACCCCUCCAUCACCUCAUCCGAUCGAUUUCAUCCACCUCUCGCCUCCUACCUCCGCACCACCUGAAGUACAUUCUAAGCCCUGGCCCCCAAACCUUGACGGAGAGGGGGGUCGAUAGUCCACUUCUUAAGCAAUAGUCCGGUGGGGGAGAACGGCUAACCCGCACCUUAUAUUGACAUAGGCUAGCAUAUGGAGUACCCUCGUUGAACCAAGGCCCCCCGACCCGCUUUGGCUGAUCGGGGGGUUCCGGGAGCAAAUUCUGGUGGGCGAGUACAGUGGAUCCUAGA